rnacentral:tmRNA from 1 species
GGGGGCGACUUGGCUUCGACGUGGGUCGCGAAACUCUGGGUGCAUGCCGAGGCGCAGACCACCUCGUAAAUCCAGCUGCAAAAAAUCUAGUUGCGAACGACGACAACUACGCUCUCGCUGCCUAAGUAACCCUUAGGUUAGCGUGCAUCCGACCGGUACUCGCCCGUGGGUCCGAAUCGGGUGUAACCGCACACGGGAUCGCGCGAGCUCACGUUCGGGGGGAUCGCGUUAAAACCAAAUCCGGACUGGCGAAGGAGUCAGCCUGCCUUUCGGCGGACCCCAAGCGAGAUGUUAAAUUGUCAGGCUAAGCAUGUAGAUCUCAGGGCAGAGGGCUUGCGGACGCGGGUUCGAUUCCCGCCGCCUCCACCA